CCCCCGGUUAAAGCGGCGGACUGGUGAGUAACGCGUGGGUGACCUACCUUGAGGAUGGGGAUAGCUGUUAGAAAUAGACAGGUAAAACCGAAUAAGCUAGUAUGACUAUGGUUAUAUUAGGAAAGAUGCUACGGCAUUGCCUUAAGAUGGGCCCGCGUCCCAUUAGCUAGUUGGUAGAGUAAAGGUUUACCAAGGCGAAGAUGGGUAGCCGGCCUGAGAGGGUGAACGGCACACUGGGACUGAGAUACGGCCCAGACUCCUACGGGAGGCAGCACGCUAAGAAUAUUCCGCAAUGGACGAAAGUCUGACGGAGCGACGCCGCGUGGAUGAGGAAGGCCGAAAGGUUGUAAAAUCCUUUUGCGAAUGAAGAAUAAGCGUGGUAGGGAAUGACCGCGUGAUGACGUUAGUUCGCGAAUAAGCCCCGGCUAAUUAC
rnacentral:rRNA from 1 species